rnacentral:lncRNA from 1 species
GGCCCCAGUCUGAGAGGCACCGGCAGCCUCCGUCGCGGGGUGGCUGGGACCGAGUCGGGGGGAGUGGGCCGCUCCAGCCCGUCCGUGCCUGGCCUGGCGGAGUGGCCCUAGGAAGGCCCAGGAGGACUGAGCCCUCCACGGCAGCCCGGGAGAGCCCUCCAGAAACCCAACAGCCGGGCCGGGGACGGGACGGGCGUCCAGGAAAGCAGGGCACCCUCGGCCCAGGGCGAGAGGCCGCAGCCUGAGGAGGGGUGUGGGGCAGCAGGGGAGGAGACCCCGCUUCAGAGAUGAGGAGCCCGGGGUAGGGGCGGAGGAUGCUGUGUAGGAAAAGGGCGGGAAGGAGGAUUUGGCACAGGGCUCUGCUGCCUGGUCUCAAUUUACUCGUGAGGAGCCUCCUAAUAGCUGGGUGAGAGCCGCGCACGCUUUCCUGAGAGCCUGCUAAGUGUUUAUGGAAUGAUUUGUGAGGAGAAGUUUCUUUGGAAGCAGCUUGGGGAAGGUAUGUUAUUAAGAACUCUUUCUCCAAGUUCCCUUUGGCCCGCUCCCCCUCCCCCCCGCCAGGCCCCUGGGGUCUGGGCAGCCCAUGGUCACAGCAGCUGUUUGCUAUUUUGUAGGCCAUGAGGCCAGGGAGCAUACUGGGGCUGGGGGAAGAUGGGGGAGUGGGGGCGAUUUUCUCCUCCCCGAGGUGGUAUAAUGCAGAGGAGGAGCACUGGAGCUGGAGUCAGGAGCCUGCCUCUGAGGGGGACGGCCCCAGCCCCAGCAGAGCACGGCGUCGGUCACAGGGACUUGGAGGAGGGAGGACGGCAGGGUCGGAGGCAGCCGAGAGGCCUCGAGUGACGUGCACCGAGCGUGGCCAUUGGCUCUGGUACGUGGACGUCACCAGAGAGUGACGCGGCCAGCUCAGGAGGAGGGGUUCCGUGUUUGCCUUUUGCACCAGGCCGGGAGCUCCCUGGGGCAGGGGCUGUUUGGCUCCUCUUGGUGGCCCCAGCGUCGUCAGACACGCGGGGCUGGCCCAGAGCAGGGGCCCUGCGCGGGCUCGGCGCGGGCAGCGCCUGGGAGGGCCGCCGUGUGGCUGCUCUCGCUCACCAACCCGCCGUCCCACCCAGCCACGGGGAAGGGGCUCAGCCUGUCCAGGGAGCUCAGGAGUCACGCAGCGCUCCUAGCAAGGUGCCAACGACCGGCCAUUUCUGAUUCUCUGAGACCCCUGGCGGGACAUGGGGCCUACCACGGUCUUUAUCCCAGUGGAUCUUCACAACAGCCUCGAGAGGUCAGGCUUCUUACCUCCUCCGAAGCUGUAACUGAGGAAACUUAAGCCCGGAGAGUGAAGUCUUCUUCUGAGGUCACACAGUAAGUACCUGCCCAGGUAGGGCUCACACUCAGGUGUUCAAGGCCAAAGCACAUGCUCUGACCUGUAAGCCAUGCUGCCUGAAGGCACUCACCUGUCAUCUCACUAAGUGCCCUGCAUUGGCAGUGACUUGAUGUCAGCCCGUCUGUCCCCACUUACCUGGGAGCUCCCUAAGACAAGGUAUCAGGUUGGCUUCGCCCCAGGCCCUUAGGUCCCAGCACUGGACCUGGCACAGAGGAGAUGGAUAGAUGGAAUGGAUGGAUGGAUGGAUGGAUGGAUGGAUGGAUGGAUGGAUGGAUGGAUGGAUGGAUGGACGGACAGGUGGAUGGCUAAACUCUGGGUCAGAAUUUGGGAGCUAGAAUUCCAGGUAGAAGGAGCUCCAUGUGCAAAUUAGCAAAGCACAUAGCAUGGGGGUGGCCUGCGUGGGGUGCAGGGGUGUGUGUUUGGGGCAGUGGGUCUCAACUGGUGCCAAGUACCAAGCCAAGAAGCUGUGCUGGAAAUCUGUG